UUGAUAACCUUUUAUUUUGCAAUUGAAAACAAAACCACCCUUGGGUCCACCCUCACAAAGCUGGGCCAUUCUCUGCGGAGUUGGUGUCUAUACCUGCGCACCUUGCUUUUGUCCAGGCCCUGGGCAGGGUCACGGUUUGCGGGGUGGGGGAGGGGCAUCGCUGCGUUGAGUGGCCAGUGAGGACAGAGGGCGGUGUGACGAUGGUGACAGAUCACAAUGGGCAGCAGAAGGGUGGUUGGUUUAGGCGUCAUCGUGGAGGCUGGAGGAAGAAAUUUUUUCCAGAUCAGUAAAAGAGAAGCCAUGAUUGAUGUACACACCAUGGGAAUGGUGACUGUGGACCUCGUAUCUACCUGCUCCAGCCUGGCAACACCUGAUGUCAUGCUGCUGACCUGAGCAGAGGUGGCUAAGACACCCAGGGAAAAGGGCACAGGCCUAUAAAGACCUUAGAGGUAACUGGAUUGCCUCCAAUCGUGAGAACAACAGCUGCCCCUGACCUGCCACUGGCCAUUCUCCACCUUCAGCUGUGUCCCCUUUGGAUACAAAACAAGAUCUUUUUGCUCACUGGGAAAACCUUUUUUAGCCCCUAAGACCACUAACGGAAGCUUGCAUUUGUUCCUAGGCCAUCUUAUUGUGUCCCAGCUGAGGACACAAUGGACAUAUCUGCAUUUGAAGCAAAGCCCAGUGGCCAUGGAGAAGGGGACCACCACUAGUUCACCAUCAGGAGCCUUUUCAUGGUCCCUCAGGUGUUUGGGGCCACCUCCUCUUAUUACAUUGAAGGGGAAGGAAUGCAACAUGCCUCCUGCACGUGGUAUGUUCAUGGAAGCAUACUUUCUCUCUUCUGUUCUAAUCACAAUACCUCCACUGCCCAACAAAGGGUCAGUAGCAGUGGUAUCAAUAGGUAUGACAGCAGGUGCUAUGGACAUAGAAGUCACCAAAUCCACAGAUUCAGGGCACAUAAAUGCAGAAACAGCCUUCAUGGAUCGAAGAGGAACCAGUAUGUGCAUAGCAGGUGGACUCAGAGGGUCAUCAUGUAGUUGGAGCAGUGCUUGUAAGCAUGUCCUUGUCCUCAGGGGGUAUGUCCAGCAUGUCAGCAGAAGCUGCUGGUGUCUCCCCAGAGGGCAGCAAGUGUGAUGUUUGCAGGAGCAGAUGCAACCAGCAAGCCUGUUGUAGAAACAGGCCCAAUAGCAGGACCCCUUGUCUCAGCCUUGCAAAUAAAGGCUACACAAGUGAAUGGGAUGGAAGUCAGGAAGUCUCCAACCUAAGGUUGAUGCCCAGAGGGAGAGAAUAGAAAAGGACAGAACUCCCACAAGAAGUCACUGCCAUCAUCACAGGAUUGGAGAGAACGAGUCAACCAUAAGAACAUUCAUCUUCUGGUCCUUAGCCUGCCACUAGGACCACUAGGGGCGAAAAAAAGGAAAAAGCUAGAGGAACCAAGGAACCUGAGGACACAGGUCCUCCCCUUAGGAAAAUGCCAGCCCCAACAUUACGGCGAAGAGAAGUCUACGUUAUCUCAACAAUUGGAGAGGAGCCAAACUGUGACAAGUGUAGGGUCUUCAAGCAGAAAUGGCUCUUCAUGAAGCUCAGAGCCUGCCUUGCUGCACAUGGUAGAGAGGUGGGAUGAAGUCUAAGAUAGUGGAAAAGGGGAGCAUGGAGGCUACCACGUAGUCAGCAGAAUGUGGCAGGAGCUAGGGAUCCCUGGGACCAUAUCUGAGACCAACAGGACAAUAACUUUGAAGCCCAUCAAAAAAGGAAUCACAGCAUGGAGGCCAAGGUGUUUCUAGGUUAGCUGGCCUUCAUUUAAGUAAAUACACAUAAAUGAAUAAAAUACAUUCUAAGAAUGAGAAAAGAAAGCAUAAAGCACAAUCCAAAGGCACAUGUCUUUUCAUCAUGAAAUUCACACAUAUGUAUUGGUGAGGUUUGUCCCAUGGAGGCAAAGGAAGAAUCAAAAGCACCCACACUCAAUGGACCUGUGUGGGCCAGCAGAAGAGUGUCUUAGCUUCCUACCUUUUCUCCAGAAUGCACACAUUUCAUUCUUGAGCCUAGUGGGUCUAGUGGGUGUAAGAAUCACCCAAGGUGCUUUUCUGCAAUGCCGAUUCUUGGCCCUGGACAAACUGAACCAGGAUCUCACAGAGUGGGACCAUCUUAGGUGAUUCUGAUGGAGGUGACCCAAGAUCUGGACUCAGGUGCCUAACACUGGUACAUGGUCCAAUUUCAAAAUGGGCCUCAAGAGUCAGCAAGUAGGCCCUGCACAUUUUCAUGUAAAUGUGCUCAUUUUUUUGGACUAUGCACUAGUUCAUUUUCAUCACACCUACUGUAGACAUUUAUUCAUUAACCAAUAUUACAGUAAGAGUUUACUAUGCGCCAGGCACUGUUUUAGGUGCUCUACAAGUCGAGCCUUUCAAUUUCUUGAAAAUCUGGUUUUUACAGUGCUAAAUAUAGACUUGCCUUAUUAUCCUCUUUAGCUGCUGCCUAGACUGUCAUUAUACGGUGAGUGACAUAUGAAUGUUCCUUCUAAGAGGGAGGGCAUGGGAAGAAAAAGAGGGACAAUGGCCCUCUUUAUCCUUACCCUUCUGCAAAGUAUAGGACAUUCACUGGCUUGCCAAAGCUUUAUAAUGUUGCUGAAAAUAUAAAUAAGUAUGCCAUGAAAUAUGUAAUGGGGUAGAGGUUGUGAAGCAGUAAAUACAUAGUACAUUAAAAAAUUACAAAUCUUUCUAUUUUGAGAUAAUAUCUAAAUUGAGAAACAGAUAACUAUCUUCUCCCCACCCCUUAAUCAGUAAUCAUAUCCACAGUAACAUAUUGCAAGACUUGAAAACUAGGUUGUAGGAGUAGAACAGCAUACAUAUUUCAGGAAAAGAAAUGAAAUGCUGUAUUGCCUUAAGAUACCAAAUAAUUGCUUCUUUCUCAGUAUUUAUCUAGUCUCAGCCUUUUGUAGUAUAUAGAAGUAAAAAAAAAAAGUCUUUUAGCAAAUUAUAGUCACCUUUGGAAUAUUCUUUUGCUCUUGUUUUGAACACCAAGGAAAUGAGAGGUCCACCAUGUUGACAUGUGUGCUUUAGGCCUAGAUUUAACGCCUGGUAUUUAUGUGCUGACUUGACAUCUGCUGAAAUCAGGAGGGCCUUGAAUGUUCUAACCACUAUCCCCCCCUCCCCCGCAACCGUGCUUCUGUGGAUAAGGUUCCCUAGCUGAAUAAGCUUUCUUAUCAAAGGAACGAAGCACUUCCUGCUUUUCCUGGAGUAUAGGGUGUCAGUUCCCUGCUAGCUUUCAGAAUUGUUCAGACAAGCCAAUCACAUCCUCCAGGGAAACAGCAGACAUCCCACCCUCUUGAUACUAUAGAGCUUGCCUCUGACAGCUCUUGGUUGUUGAGUGCAACCCUGCUUGGCAUACUGUGUCCCUCUCCCCUGGGCAGUGAGUAUUUCUGACUAAUAAACUGCUGUUGAUUUUG